GAGAGCGAGGCGGUGCAGGGGAGGUUCCGGGCCGUGUACGAGAAGCCUCAAGGGGUAUGUGGCGACCAUCGGCAUGCGACUGAUCAGGAGGAGGAGCAGGCAUGUGAGUGGCCCUGCGAGAACCGCGGGGGCAGGACGAAAAUGUCACUUGCACACCACGCUCCUCCUCCUCCAUCUCUUCUUCAUAGUCAGAGCCCUGGAAGAAGAGGACCCUGUGAUCACAGCCCAUUUUCCAGCAUGCUUGUGUGGACGCAACUCCUCCUGAGAGUCAUCAGAACCACCACGACGAGAGGCGCGGGCAGAGGUGAUGAUCUUGCUCAUGGAGAUAAUCAUGAUGAGGGACUUGAUCAUCUUCUUGUUCUGCAACUAUGGGCAUUGGUUGAACAAUAGGAGCUUGUGAUGCUAUGGGUGUUGAAGUGGUUUGAUGAUGUGCGAAACUUCCAUCUUCUUCUUCAUCAUCAUGAGGUUCUUGUUCCAUGGGAAUAAGAGCACCAACACCCAUGGAGAAAAUAUCUUGAGACGAAUCUUCUUCACCUACAUAACUUAGAUCAACUUGCUCCCCAUGGGAGUCAUUAAAUUCAUCAAACACCACAUCACAAGUUUCUACAACACAUCCAUUGGAUUUGUUAUAGACUCUAUAGGCGUGAGAGUUUGAUCCAUAACCAACAAAUAUGACCUCAGUUGUUUUGGAUUGAAAUUUUCCUAACCGUUCUCUUUUGUUGAGUAUGAAACAUGUGCACCAUAAUACACGAAAAUACUUGACAUUUGGCUAUUUACCGGUUAGGAGCUCA